rfam:Triticum urartu cultivar G1812 contig632596, whole genome shotgun sequence.
CUAAUACUCCCUCCGUCCGGAAAUACUUGUCCUAGAAAUGGAUGUAUCUAGACUUAUUUUAGUUAUAGAUACAUCCAAUUUAUCCAUUUUCAGAAAAAAUAUUUCUGGACAGAGGAGUACCUA